CUACUGCUUUUACUGUAUUUACUUAAACUGCAAAUCAUCCUCACAUUUCUGGAGCUGCAGCCACUAAGUGUUGCUUCAUGAAAGUGAAUAGAUUAUUAUCGUAACAACCACUCACCCAAUUAACCAGAAUCUACAAAGUGAGGAAGUGAGAGGAGGACUAGGGCCUGUGUUUUCUAGUUGUUGAAUUAUCUACCACUAUGUGAGCUCCUCCUGUUAUAACUCUAAAUCUUACACAAUGACGAUGAAGUCAGUCCUGUGUAUAUAAAGAGUUGCCUCUGUUGUUAACAGUAGACAACAGAUUUCACCUUUGAAUCUCACAAAGCUCACUUUGUAUUCGACAGGAUGAAGUUUGCUGCCGCCUUCCUGGUGUUGUUCAUGGUCGUCCUCAUGACUGCACCUGGAGAGGUUUUGGGAAAUUGGAUCAUGCGCCCUAUCGGAGCUGGAAAGAAGGCCUUGCAAAUUACCCGCGCGCAACACAGUUACGACGAGCAGCAGCAGGAGCAGGAGCUCGACAAGCGCUCAGUCGAUGACGACCCCAGUGUUAUUGCUUUUGACUGAAGAAGUCGCCCUGAAGGAACUUUUGAUGAUAUAUAAUGCUUCUUGCUUUUCAAUGAAAUAAAUAAAACAUUUACCCACAACAGCAA